rnacentral:lncRNA from 1 species
UGUUCACUGACUGUACCUCAUUUUAGUAAUUUAUUCUAUUACUUGAUAUAUUUUUGUAUUUGUGUUACAUGUAGAUGUUAAAAUCUAAACCGAUCAAACAGCCAAGUUUUUAUUUAUGUAAAAAGUCACCAAAAGCGAUUGUCUUCUAGUGCGAAGAACCAUAUAUCUACCUAGUCGUUCUGUCUGUAUAUCACUAGAGCCGAAGCCAGUUUUCGUGGUAUGCUGUCUUAGCAGAUGAAAUAGUCAGUCGUAUAUCUGUCCACUUUUUCCACGAAAACGGAGCUGAUACAAAUUGGGUACAUCACGUCGCGUCGUGAUCUAUAUAGUGUUUAACUGUGGGAACUGGCUUGGUGAAUAUUGUGCACUACUAGUAUUUUCGAUUUGUUACUUAAGCUUUGGACAAUUAAUGCAAGUUGACUAAGAAUUUUGAAUAAACUGUAUCGGUGAUAAUAAGCUGCGUUUUGUACUUUUAUAUAAGAUUAAUGACUCAAGAUAUAUAAAUUCUUAAUAGCUCUCAAAAUAUAAAAUGUUAAUUUUUAUUCAAGAUCGCAACAUUGUAAUCUAU